CAGCCGCCACGGUAAUACGAGGGGAGCUAGCGUUAUUCGGAAUUACUGGGCGUAAAGCGCACGUAGGCGGCUUUGUAAGUUAGAGGUGAAAGCCCAGAGCUCAACUCUGGAAUUGCCUUUAAGACUGCAUCGCUUGAAUCCAGGAGAGGUGAGUGGAAUUCCGAGUGUAGAGGUGAAAUUCGUAGAUAUUCGGAAGAACACCAGUGGCGAAGGCGGCUCACUGGACUGGUAUUGACGCUGAGGUGCGAGAGCGUGGGGAGCAAACAGGAUUAGAUACCCGUGUAGUCCCUGUCUCUUAUAC
rnacentral:rRNA from 1 species